UACGUAGGUGGCAAGCGUUGUCGUGAUUUAUUGGGUUUAAAGGGUGCGUAGGCGGUUCUAUAAGUCAGUGGGGAAAUCCGGCAGCUCAACUGUCGAUGUGCCAUUGAUACUGCAGAACUUGAGUACAGACGAGGUAGGCGGAAUUGACGGUGUAGCGGUGAAAUGCUUAGAUAUCGUCAAGAACACCGAUAGCGAAGGCAGCUUACUAGACUGUAACUGACGCUGAUGCACGAAAGUGUGGGGAUCAAACAGG
rnacentral:rRNA from 1 species